CCUCGGGGUCCGUCGCCUCCCGCGGGGCUGGCUGAGGCGGAGUCGGAGUCGGAUCCGCCCCCUCCCGGGGUGGGGAAAACGGAGAAUUCCGCGGUGGAGCGGGCGGGGCGGGCCCGGAAAGCGGCGGGCUCGGCUCCCUCUCCCCCCCAAGAGAAGGAGCGGGGGGGGGAAGGCAGCUCUGUCUGCUCCGAAGGAACAGAAAAAAACUUUUGCUCAGCUGUGGGCAGUGCGGCAGGGCUGCAAACCCACGGUUCGUCUUCUUGGAGAGGCUUCUUUCGUGCUGAAGCUGGUGGAUACGGAGCGCGGCCGUGCCACCGAGCCAUGAUGUCCCCCCCAGCCUUUUUUACUGUCAAAACCCAGGAUAAGAUGUCUUGGGAUAUUGAAUAUAUCAACGGGCGUUUAACACCCUGGUGCUCUGUCCACUCAACAGCAGCCUUCAUGAGCUCCCAAAUAUCUAAAUCGAGGGAGUAUAUCACAUUUGUAAAAAAUCUAUGAAAUUUUGCCCAUCUGAAAACGUCAUAGUAAUCUUCCUUCCAAUAAAUCAAAUCGUGUCCCCAUUUGCACCAGAGUUUAAUAACUUUCUCCUCUGACGCAGUAAACGGAACCUGAGCUUCCGAAGUGUGUAACAUUGAAAAACACCAAAACACCAAUUUCACCAGAAAAACACUGAAAUACUCUUCCAUCCUGGAAAAUGCUGGUUUUAUGGGGAUAUACUGCACUGCCAAGAUACCCCAUGGAUCCCAGAUCACCAGAGGCAAACAGACCAACUGAAAAGUCACAGGAGAGGUUCGUCUCAGCAUGAAGAAUUCUGUGGCAGAGCACAGGAGAGAGCUCGUGAAGAGACUCUGCAUCAGUCUCCAACUCUGUAAGGCUGCAGGCAAAAAGACAGUGCAGCUCCUGAAAGUGUUCUUCUGCUGAGUUUCUGUUGCUUGUGUCACUAACAUCUGGAGCUUCUGAGCUUAUUGUGAGACUAUCCCAUUCUGGUUUAUAGCAUCCCAUAUCUCCAGUGCAAUAUGCUUUACUGAAUCACCAAUAAAUCCAGCAGCAGAUGUGUGUGUAUCUCAUCUGUGAAGCUA